GACCUCGGAUCAGGUAGGAAUA
rnacentral:rRNA from 2 species